UCAGGCAGUGGUUGAUGUUUUGAAGAGCUGACUCUACACAUAUCAAUCACCAUUUGACAAGACGAUCAGGAGCCAAGAAUUAAAGGGAAUCCUGAAUAUCGGGGGAAACACGCCAGCGGGAAUCUAAAUGAUGUCAAACAAUAUCGGAAGUGACAAGCUCUUUAGAAGUUCCUGUGCUAUCAUCCUAUUGGAAAAGCAUAUCAAAAAGACCAUCUCGCAAAGGUGUCCUUCUGGAACAGCGGCGCAAGGGGGAAGUAGCCAGAUGCGACCCACUUUGGCAUAUCCGUCGUUUAUUGUAAAUAUGAUGAUUUUUACUAGCCCGAAGACACACGGAGUGAGCUGGCCCAGGAUUCUAGGCACUUCGCUCCAUCAGAUUUCAGUAAAGUUUAUCUAUCGUGAGUUCGUAUCCAAAGAACAUCAUAAAAUGGAGGGCCAAGGCAAUAUUUCCCCCAAGUGAGACUUCACACAAGGGAAGCGAAUCAGAGUUUGCAUCCAAAUCUGGAAAUGUAUUAAACUCCUAUUGUUGUAGUCGUCACAUCCUCGUAUGAAAAGGCCUAAAUUUAUAUGG